rnacentral:piRNA from 1 species
UNCAUGGUGAAGCAGCUGAGCAUGCCAGCU